rnacentral:lncRNA from 1 species
CUAUGAUACCUACAUCAUCAGCAUCCUUUCUCUUUUUUGAUGGAAGAUCAUUAGCUUCAUCAAAAACUAUAUGAAUUGACUCCUCCACUACUAGAGUUCUUUUCUUAAACACUCUAAAAGCUUUGCUAAAAGUAGAAUAUCCAAGAAAGAUAGCUUCAUCAGAUUUAGCAUCAAACUUACCUAAGCUAUCUUUGCCAUAAUUUAAAACAAAGCACCGGCAAUCAAAAACAUG